rnacentral:rRNA from 1 species
GGUUAAGCGACUAAGCGUACACGGUGGAUGCCCUGGCAGUCAGAGGCGAUGAAGGACGUGCUAAUCUGCGAUAAGCGUCGGUAAGGUGAUAUGAACCGUUAUAACCGGCGAUUUCCGAAUGGGGAAACCCAGUGUGUUUCGACACACUAUCAUUAACUGAAUCCAUAGGUUAAUGAGGCGAACCGGGGGAACUGAAACAUCUAAGUACCCCGAGGAAAAGAAAUCAACCGAGAUUCCCCCAGUAGCGGCGAGCGAACGGGGAGCAGCCCAGAGCCUGAAUCAGUGUGUGUGUUAGUGGAAGCGUCUGGAAAGGCGUGCGAUACAGGGUGACAGCCCCGUACACAAAAAUGCACAUACUGUGAGCUCGAUGAGUAGGGCGGGACACGUGGUAUCCUGUCUGAAUAUGGGGGGACCAUCCUCCAAGGCUAAAUACUCCUGACUGACCGAUAGUGAACCAGUACCGUGAGGGAAAGGCGAAAAGAACCCCGGCGAGGGGAGUGAAAAAGAACCUGAAACCGUGUACGUACAAGCAGUGGGAGCACGCUUAGGCGUGUGACUGCGUACCUUUUGUAUAAUGGGUCAGCGACUUAUAUUCUGUAGCAAGGUUAACCGAAUAGGGGAGCCGAAGGGAAACCGAGUCUUAACUGGGCGUUAAGUUGCAGGGUAUAGACCCGAAACCCGGUGAUCUAGCCAUGGGCAGGUUGAAGGUUGGGUAACACUAACUGGAGGACCGAACCGACUAAUGUUGAAAAAUUAGCGGAUGACUUGUGGCUGGGGGUGAAAGGCCAAUCAAACCGGGAGAUAGCUGGUUCUCCCCGAAAGCUAUUUAGGUAGCGCCUCGUGAAUUCAUCUCCGGGGGUAGAGCACUGUUUCGGCAAGGGGGUCAUCCCGACUUACCAACCCGAUGCAAACUGCGAAUACCGGAGAAUGUUAUCACGGGAGACACACGGCGGGUGCUAACGUCCGUCGUGAAGAGGGAAACAACCCAGACCGCCAGCUAAGGUCCCAAAGUCAUGGUUAAGUGGGAAACGAUGUGGGAAGGCCCAGACAGCCAGGAUGUUGGCUUAGAAGCAGCCAUCAUUUAAAGAAAGCGUAAUAGCUCACUGGUCGAGUCGGCCUGCGCGGAAGAUGUAACGGGGCUAAACCAUGCACCGAAGCUGCGGCAGCGACGCUUAUGCGUUGUUGGGUAGGGGAGGGGAGCGUUCUGUAAGCCUGCGAAGGUGUGCUGUGAGGCAUGCUGGAGGUAUCAGAAGUGCGAAUGCUGACAUAAGUAACGAUAAAGCGGGUGAAAAGCCCGCUCGCCGGAAGACCAAGGGUUCCUGUCCAACGUUAAUCGGGGCAGGGUGAGUCGACCCCUAAGGCGAGGCCGAAAGGCGUAGUCGAUGGGAAACAGGUUAAUAUUCCUGUACUUGGUGUUACUGCGAAGGGGGGACGGAGAAGGCUAUGUUGGCCGGGCGACGGUUGUCCCGGUUUAAGCGUGUAGGCUGGUUUUCCAGGCAAAUCCGGAAAAUCAAGGCUGAGGCGUGAUGACGAGGCACUACGGUGCUGAAGCAACAAAUGCCCUGCUUCCAGGAAAAGCCUCUAAGCAUCAGGUAACAUCAAAUCGUACCCCAAACCGACACAGGUGGUCAGGUAGAGAAUACCAAGGCGCUUGAGAGAACUCGGGUGAAGGAACUAGGCAAAAUGGUGCCGUAACUUCGGGAGAAGGCACGCUGAUAUGUAGGUGAAGUCCCUCGCGGAUGGAGCUGAAAUCAGUCGAAGAUACCAGCUGGCUGCAACUGUUUAUUAAAAACACAGCACUGUGCAAACACGAAAGUGGACGUAUACGGUGUGACGCCUGCCCGGUGCCGGAAGGUUAAUUGAUGGGGUCAGCGCAAGCGAAGCUCUUGAUCGAAGCCCCGGUAAACGGCGGCCGUAACUAUAACGGUCCUAAGGUAGCGAAAUUCCUUGUCGGGUAAGUUCCGACCUGCACGAAUGGCGUAAUGAUGGCCAGGCUGUCUCCACCCGAGACUCAGUGAAAUUGAAAACUCGCUGUGUGAAGAUGCAGUGUACCCGCGGCAAGACGGAAAGACCCCGUGAACCUUUACUAUAGCUUGACACUGAACAUUGAGCCUUGAUGUGUAGGAUAGGUGGGAGGCUUUGAAGUGUGGACGCCAGUCUGCAUGGAGCCGGCCUUGAAAUACCACCCUUUAAUGUUUGAUGUUCUAACGUUGACCCGUGAUCCGGGUUGCGGACAGUGUCUGGUGGGUAGUUUGACUGGGGCGGUCUCCUCCUAAAGAGUAACGGAGGAGCACGAAGGUUGGCUAAUCCUGGUCGGACAUCAGGAGGUUAGUGCAAUGGCAUAAGCCAGCUUGACUGCGAGCGUGACGGCGCGAGCAGGUGCGAAAGCAGGUCAUAGUGAUCCGGUGGUUCUGAAUGGAAGGGCCAUCGCUCAACGGAUAAAAGGUACUCCGGGGAUAACAGGCUGAUACCGCCCAAGAGUUCAUAUCGACGGCGGUGUUUGGCACCUCGAUGUCGGCUCAUCACAUCGGCUGAAGUAGGUCCCAAGGGUAUGGCUGUUCGCCAUUUAAAGUGGUACGCGAGCUGGGUUUAGAACGUCGUGAGACAGUUCGGUCCCUAUCUGCCGUGGGCGCUGGAGAACUGAGGGGGGCUGCUCCUAGUACGAGAGGACCGGAGUGGACGCAUCACUGGUGUUCGGGUUGUCAUGCCAAUGGCACUGCCCGGUAGCUAAAUGCGGAAGAGAUAAGUGCUGAAAGCAUCUAAGCACGAAACUUGCCCCGAGAUGAGUUCUCCCUGACUCCUUGAGAGUCCUGAAGGAACGUUGAAGACGACGACGUUGAUAGGCCGGGUGUGUAAGCGCAGCGAUGCGUUGAGCUAACCGGUACUAAUGAACCGUGAGGCUUAACCUU